GAAAUGCGAUAAGUAAUGCGAAUUGCAGAAUUCAGUGAAUCAUCGAAUCUUUGAACGCACAUUGCGCCCGCCAGCACUCUGGCGGGCAUGCCUGUUCGAGCGUCAUUUGUACCCUCAAGCUCUGCUUGGUGUUGGGUGUUUGUCCCGUCUCCGCGCGUGGACUCGCCCCAAAGUGAUUGGCAGCCGGCGUACUGGUCCCGGAGCGCAGCACAUGUCGCGCAAACGAGUGCCUUGGUACGGCGGCGUCCAUAAGCCCCUCUCUCACGCUCUUGACCUCGGAUCAGGUAGGGAUACCCGCUGAACUUAAGC
rnacentral:misc_RNA from 1 species